AUGCCUGAUGAUCUGUGGUCCCUGCUGCCUCUCGGAAAAUGUUUCUGCUUUCCCCAAGGAAACUUUUCAGCCCAGCUCCGUGGCAAGAGAUCUGAUGAACUAGUCGAACAUUUCCAAGAGGAUGUGGUGAAUUAUUUAAGGUCAGAGGAUGGACACAUUGGGAAGGAGGCUUUCAGCACUAUGCCUUCCAAUCGCACAAAACAGACCAGCAUCCUCCGGCUGAUGGAUCUUUGGAGUAACAGCAUUGGUCCCUCCAGAAAACCUCACCACAUCAUCCUUCAUCAAGGAAACAGCUGAAAUUCAGUGGGACAACCUUACACGCUGCAAGGACACCUGGCGUCCUUCCACCUCCUCUGAUGACCUCAGUUGCUCUCAAACAAUCAAGCACUGCCUGUUAGAAUGAAAACAGAUGCCACUAAAUGCUACUGUUUUGAGCAUGGCAUUUUUUAGUCAACCACUGAACUGUACACAGCCAAAUGACUUUAUUCGCUACACCAAGAAACCAUCUUUCCUACUGGACAAACACAUAUAGUAGUUGGGACCACUAUAUGACAAAUGGGACCACCUGUCAUAUAAGAGUUCAGUUAGGACUCAGAAUGUAAUUGCUCACUAAGACUUAAGAGAGUCCACACUGGGUGUCACAGAAGAUACUAGAAGAAACUCAUGAUAACCCAAAGGACAUUGUUACAAUGCCUGUACAUGUCAGCCCGGUGCUUUGGAUUACCACAGUGUUUCCUGGAAACUCUAUUUUGCCAACUAUCUUGAACUCAGUCCAGGCAUUUCCCCAUUCAUAGCCACAUGGUGGGGUCAGUACUGAAGGGUGAUGAACACUGCAGUGUCCUUGCAGAAGGCUCAGACUAUGCAAUAUUUAAAUUAAAAAAGAUAAACACCAUUCUAGGCACAUUCCGUGCCACAUCACCACGACCCAGUUCCUGUUAUCCAUCAAGUAGGUUUUAAAAUAGUCCGCGUUUUUUAGCCCUGCAUAGUCAACAGUACUGGAAAGUUGGCAGGUCCACUUGUUUAAACAAAGCUCCCAAGUUUUCUGCUGGCAGGUGUUUCCAGAGUUCUUGGAGCACAAUUCUUUGGAUAGGAUAUUUGCCAAUAUACAUAGCAACAGGAAAAAAAAAUGUGUUUUCCUUUGUCACAGUGGAGACACAAAAAUGCCUUAGAUGCAAAGCUGGAUAUUCAGCUUGGGGCUUAUUUUGGCUCUAUGUCAAGGAAUAAACAAUAAUAAAAUCCAGCAUCUCUCUGUUCAGAUCUGACGGGUUUCAGAGGGGAACAGGGCUGCUUCUCAACUUGCCAGAGUGAACUCUCCACCCAUCUCUGCAGCUUGACCUGUGAAUUUGUCUUCCCUUCUUUGUCAGUUCCUCCAGCCUCCUGAGUAUCCCAUUCUCAAGUUUUCCUGCUAAUUCUGCUUGAAAUUGAGGUGGGGGAUGGUUGGUUUGAAAUUUAAUUUGAUGAUGGCAGAACAGCUAAGAUUUAUUCCACCUCUAUCUGCCCUUAGGCAUUGAGUUUCAGUUAUUCUUAAAUCUAACUUUCCCAAAUCCAAACUUGGGACAACUUUAAAAUCACACGGCUAGUUUUAUAAUCUCUUUCUUGCCAGUUGGACUAAUUCACAUUUGCUGCCAUUAGAUGCAUCCCCUAGUCAUUCAGUUAAACUUGACACAUGCGCUGGAACACCACGAGAGAGAAAUGAUCCUGGCUCUCACCCUGAACUGAAUGAGAAUAAAUAGAAGGUUCUCUUAAUGCAAAAUCAACGUUUUUUUCCUUUGAGUUUUAAACAUUUGCCCCCAAACUUCUCCCUCAAACUUAAAGGAAGUCAAAAUGUAACUGGCUUAGAAGGUACUUACUUAAUGGACAUUAAAUUGAAACCCAAAGAAAAUUAUGGCUUUCAAAUUCUGUUUACCAAAAAAAGAAUAUUAGGCACUACUAAAAUUUAUUUUAAGUCAUUUCCUCUUUAGUUAGUUGCUGGUGGGGAAUGCAUUAUUUCAUUCUGGUGUUAACUGGCCUUAUUUAUGCCUCUCUCAAUUACCCGUCUGCUCCAUCUCUCUCAUAUUAUCUUUUCAUUUAGUAUCUUUGGAAGCUUCCUUACAAAUUUCAAAAUGAAGAUGCACUUUACGGAUGUUUUGGGUUUAGAAUGGACCCUUUCUGUAAGGAGUCAUGAACAGAGCCAAGGGUCUUAUAAAAUCCAUCGGUUUGGGGAAAAGGAAUUGGACAUUUGAUUGUUAGGGAGAAAUUUUACUUUUUUCAUUCACCUUAACUGUGGCUAUAGAAAGAAACCACAUUGAUCAGAGUCUGGAUUUUUCACCUCCAGAAGAUGUGUGAAGGACUAAUAGUAGUGAUAAAUACAGACUUAGAUCAGACAGACCUGAGUUCAAAUUCCUGCACUGCUACCUACUUGUAGGUGUUGAAAGAUAAGGCUCAGACUCCCCUGGUGGUACAGUGGAUAAGAAUCUGCCUGCCAGUGUUGGGAACACAGGUUCGAUCCCCGGUCUGGGAGGAUUCCACGUGCCACGGAGCAAUUAAGCCCAUGGGCCACGGCUACUGAGCCCCCAGAGGCAAGAACUGAAGCCCUUGUGCCUCGAGCGGGUGCUCUGCAACAAGAGAGGCCCCCACAAUGAGAAGCUCGUGCACCACAACGAAGAAUGGUCCCCACUCACCACGGCUAGAGGAAGCUUGAAUAGCAGGGAAGACCAGCACAGCCAAAAAUAGAAUAAAAAAUAACAACAACAACACAAAACAGCAAAGCUCUUGGGACUUCUGUAGAGCUCCAGUGGUUAAGAUUCUGGAUGUACAAUGCAGGUGGCCUGGGUUCACAUCCCAUGUGCUACAUGGAAUGACCAUAAAUAAGUAAAUAAAUAAGGCUUUUAAUUCAGUAGCAGUCAAAUCGUUCUAUCUCUGGGACUUAGGUCAGCUUGUGAAACUCAUGGACAACAUGAGUGGAUGUGUUCAGGAAAAUUAAGUAAGGUAAUAUACAGCCAGUUCAAAGCCCAUUUCAAGAUGAAAACAGUAACAAAAUUUGAAAAAAAGUCUACCUGGCUGCAACCUUGGUAUCUGCACACUUUGUUUCAACUUUCAUUGUGUUUUAUCUCAUGAGUAAUAAAUAUUUGCUGUAAAAAGAAAUGGAAAAUCUAGGUAGAUUUUUUACAAAUAAGAACUGCUUACUCACCUAUAGAAGCAUCUCCCAGAAAUUAUUCCCAUGGAGAGUCUGACUGAAUCCUUUCAGACCUAAUCAUGAGACACCCAGGUGACAUUACAAUGCCCCUUAAAGGCUCCACUUCUACCUGGGGCAGUGGGGGUGGUGUCUGGGGGGGUGGCGGUGGAUCGGCCUGCUCCCCGAUGGAAGUGUCAAGAAGGCCAUGGGAAAACUGAUUCCUAUAAGAUAAUAAAUCAGAGAAAGGAUCCUGAGAAGAUUUGGAAGGAAAUGAAUUUUUUUUUUGUUUGUUUUCACAAAUGAAGAAAUGCUGUGAAUUCCAGGCAGGAUACUGUUUUCUGCCAGAUGGUGUUUUGGAAGAGGCAGCAGUGCUAAGACAGAGUUCCUCCUGGAAAGAUCACACACCCUGGAGGAUCUCUGCUGGGUGAAGUUUUAGUAAAUGUGAUGAAUCAAUAGUAUUGUUACUGUUAACUCCCAAUGACUGAAUUGGAAAGGACUGAUAGAGCAAUAACUUUUUUAAUAAGCUGCCUUGCUUUUCCCUUGAUUAGUGAAAAAUUUGUGAAAACUUUUUGGCUGUCUC
ensembl:lincRNA